UACGUAGGGUGCAAGCGUUGUCCGGAAUUAUUGGGCGUAAAGAGCUCGUAGGCGGUCUGUCGCGUCGGCUGUGAAAACCCGAGGCUCAACCUCGGGCCUGCAGUCGAUACGGGCAAACUAGAGUACUGCAGGGGGAGACUGGAAUUCCUGGUGUAGCGGUGAAAUGCGCAGAUAUCAGGAGGAACACCGGUGGCGAAGGCGGGUCUCUGGGCAGUAACUGACGCUGAGGAGCGAAAGCGUGGGGAGCGAACAGG
rnacentral:rRNA from 1 species